GAGAAUGAGAGCUGGACUGGGAAUGCUUGUUGGGGGAGAUAGAAUAUGAGCUGGGUAUGAAAGAAUGAGGAGUAGAUAAGCUUCUGGCUUGGUGACUACUCGGCUUCCCCAUCACCCCCACCUGUAGUAGAGACCACUCUGGGCCAGUAACCAUGGCGAUAGGAGAAGACGUGAGCAGAUGGGAGCACUAUGUGCAGAACUUAAACAUCCUUGUGUUGGGGGGAGUGCCUCAAUGGACUUCACAAAACCUGCUCAGAGACAAGACUGGACUGGAAGAUACUGUGAAGUCCAGGAGGACCAAAACUGUGAAGAUACCAAAAGAUGACCAUCUAUAAGCCAAGAAGAAAGACCUCAGGAGAAAUCAAUCCUGCUGACACCUUGGUCUUGGACUUGUAGCCUUCAGAAUUGUAAUAAAAUUUCUGUUAAGUCACCCAGUCUGCAGUACUUUGUCAUGGCAGCCCUAGCAAACUAAUAUAUGGCUAUGACUAUUUUGGGACUCUAGCUGCCUGUAUCUUUGGCCUGAAGAGAGGUGGAGUCUCUCCAAGGAUCUCUGCAAAAUAACAUUUCUAGGGUCUUUUAAGAGACUUGAGGUUUUGCUGCUUCUCUAUAUCCUCCACAACUCACUCCUUGUCAUCCAUUCUUGAGUGAAAGCCAUUUACAGUCAUCACUCAUUUAUCUGCAUUGAGGCUAUUGGAUCCUGGUUGCUCUGGUACUUUGGGUUCAGAUACAUAGAAAUUUAUGCCAUUUCCCCUGGAUCUCAGGACUGGAAGUCAAUGCCCAGGCAGGUCAUGGUGGCAGGUGAAGUAGGGGGCUGCCUGUGGUGUGGUAGUUUAGGACAGAUGGACAAGCCUACAGCCACCAAGUCACCAAC
rnacentral:lncRNA from 1 species